rnacentral:rRNA from 1 species
CAGUAGCCGCGGUAAUGCGUAGGGUGCGAGCGUUAAUCGGAAUUACUGGGCGUAAAGCGUGCGCAGGCGGUUUUGUAAGACAGGCGUGAAAUCCCCGGGCUCAACCUGGGAAUGGCGCUUGUGACUGCAAAGCUAGAGUGCGGCAGAGGGGGAUGGAAUUCCGCGUGUAGCAGUGAAAUGCGUAGAUAUCGGGAGGAACACCAGUGGCGAAGGCGAUCACCUGGGGUUGUUCUGACGCUGAGGAGCGAAAGCUAGGGGAGCAAAUGGGAUUAGAUACCCCCGUAGUCCCUGUCUCUUAUAA